CACCAGUGUUCUGUACAAUGGCAUGAGCACUUCCCUCUUUCUACUGCUAAUAUCUCUCCCUAUACAACCAAGCAUUCUGACCAAAGAAGCAUGAAUAGGGAGAAGGUAAGGUAGUCAAGUGAUGUCCUCAGUAAAAAUGAGAGAGAACAGAAAUAUUAAGAAGCCAUUUUUAUUUUACUUGUUGCUUUACACAUCUGUUCCAGCACACCACAGCGCCUGUUCCUUUUACCUAUAUCCUUAUGCCAUGGCUUUUGUCCCCGACCACAAAUACAUAAUUGAACAUUGGAGUUUUGACUUAAGAGGUACUUCUUCAUGGGAUGCUGGAAAUGGAUCAAUGUUAUUACUGUUACCUUUUCCCAAGUUUUGGAAAUAUACCUGUCUUGAUCAUUCCCCCGUUAGCAUUGAUGGGUCAGAUUAGAAUUCUUUAAUUAAACGUUAUUGUAAUGAUAUAGCACCGUGCCAG